rnacentral:lncRNA from 1 species
GGAUGAGUCACGAAACACGCUAAGGACACCUCAGCUUUAUUUAUAAUGUUUUUAAUGUUGUUAGACAGGUGUAGAAAAGUCGUAGGUUAAAUUUUUAUAUAUUAAAAAGCGUCCAAAAACCGGUAAGCAAGGUUUUUUUGGGGAGUUUUCUGUGGUUGCCCCCCUGUGCUACAACAGCCCAGAGGUGAUAAGUGCUACCUCCACACGGCGCAGCUAACGGGCUGAGUGAGCGCUCGGCUGGUCGUGAGCGAGAUGAAAUUAGCCAGGUUAACUAACUAGUUAGUGUUAGCUUAGCUAACUAGUUAGCGUUAGGUUAACUAACAGCUAUGUUUUAGUUGUACCGUGGUGUGCAGGCGGGGAAGCUGUCGGGUAGUGUUGGGAAGACGUGUAGAAAGAAAGAGAGAGAAAGAGAGAAAGAGAAAGAGAGAGAGAGAGAGGUAAACGCUUUACUACAUGCACAUAAAUAGCUCUAACUAUAACAAGCGUGUGCCGCACGCUAGCCGUUUGUUAUUAUUAUUAUUAAGGCUAGGCUUAGCUAGUUAGUUCAAUAGCCGCAGUAGGCUAUCGUCCAUUUAUCAGUAUUGACAUUCUGUAUUUAUAAUAAAUUCGUGACUUAACGUUAGCUAACGUUAACUAACGUUAGCCGUGCCUCAACCGAGCUUACCGGUGGCCAUCACAAACACAGACAGCCAAGCUCAGCUAAGCUACCCUUCUUCUAGUCUUAUUAUUAAACAGAAAACAGUGGACUUUGGCUUCAUUUCUGCUUUGAAUGAACGCGUAAAUAUACGGAAAAUAACGAUAGCGCAGCGGAGGAGAGAGGAAAGAGGGAAGAAGGAACAGUGAAAAGAGAAGGAGAAGAGAAAGAUCGGUCUGUUUCUGCAGGCAUGGACUGUUUGGCUGUUCUUUGGUGCCUGUAUAUGUUGUGAUUGUUUCUGGACUCUGUGGUCUCUGUCAGUGAAGCACGCCAAGCCUCGAGCACCUGACGCUCACCGGAAUCCCCACGAAUACGACACUCAAUACAGUAAGAGUGUGGCAUUGAGCGAGAGAGAGCGAGGUCCCUGUCUGCCCACCCGUGUGCAGUACGAGGGGGAGGGAGGCCUGGUCUUUGCUGAGGUAAUGAGGAAUUCCCUUUUGCUGAGUGCGUCCAGCGUUCGCUCUGGGGUGGACGAGGAGGUGGAAGGUGGGGGUGGAGCCCUGGUGGGAAGGGGACAUCAACUUGCCAUACUGUUGGUCACCCACAUUGUCACAGACUCACACUCACACACACACUGGGCAGGGGAAGCUGUGUGUGUGUGUGGGUCAGUGUGGGGGAGUUGAGAACAGUGAGGGUGUAGGUUUGAUGGAUUAAAAGCAAUAA